rnacentral:tRNA from 1 species
GCCCACGUAGCUCAGCGGUAGAGCACUUCCUUGGUAAGGAAGAGGUCACCGGUUCAAGUCCGGUCGCGGGCUCCA